AACUGCGAAUGGCUCAUUAAAUCAGUUAUCGUUUAUUUGAUAGUACCUUACUACUUGGAUAACCGUGGUAAUUCUAGAGCUAAUACAUGCUGAAAACCCUGACUUCGGAAAGGGUGUAUUUAUUAGAUAAAAAACCAAUGCCCUUUGGGCUCUUUGGUGAUUCAUGAUAACUUAACGGAUCGCAUGGCCUUGCGCCGGCGACGGUUCAUUCAAAUUUCUGCCCUAUCAACUUUCGAUGGUAAGGUAUUGGCUUACCAUGGUUUCAACGGGUAACGGGGAAUUAGGGUUCGAUUCCGGAGAGGGAGCCUGAGAAACGGCUACCACAUCCAAGGAAGGCAGCAGGCGCGCAAAUUACCCAAUCCCGACACGGGGAGGUAGUGACAAUAAAUACUGAUACAGGGCUCUUUUGGGUCUUGUAAUCGGAAUGAGUACAAUUUAAACCUCUUAACGAGGAACAAUUGGAGGGCAAGUCUGGUGCCAGCAGCCGCGGUAAUUCCAGCUCCAAUAGCGUAUAUUAAAGUUGUUGCAGUUAAAAAGCUCGUAGUUGAAUCUUGGGCCUGGCUGGCCGGUCCGCCUCACCGCGUGUACUGGUCUGGCCGGGCCUUUCCUUCUGGAGAACCUCAUGCCCUUCAGUGGGUGUGUUGGGGAACCAGGACUUUUACUUUGAAAAAAUUAGAGUGUUCAAAGCAGGCCUUUGCUCGAAUACGUUAGCAUGGAAUAAUAGAAUAGGACGUGCGGUCCUAUUUUGUUGGUUUCUAGGACCGCCGUAAUGAUUAAUAGGGAUAGUCGGGGGCAUCAGUAUUCAAUUGUCAGAGGUGAAAUUCUUGGAUUUAUUGAAGACUAACUACUGCGAAAGCAUUUGCCAAGGAUGUUUUCAUUAAUCAGUGAACGAAAGUUAGGGGAUCGAAGACGAUCAGAUACCGUCGUAGUCUUAACCGUAAACUAUGCCGACUAGGGAUCGGGCGAUGUUUCUAUCUUGACUCGCUCGGCACCUUACGAGAAAUCAAAGUUUUGGGUUCUGGGGG
rnacentral:rRNA from 1 species